rnacentral:tRNA from 1 species
CAAGACGUAGCUUAAACAAAAGCAUUCAGCUUACACCUGAAAAAUACCUGCCCACAACAGGUCGUCUUGA